rnacentral:misc_RNA from 1 species
GAUGAAGAACGUAGCGAAAUGCGAUACGUAAUGUGAAUUGCAGAAUUCAGUGAAUCAUCGAAUCUUUGAACGCACAUUGCGCCCGCCAGUAUUCUGGCGGGCAUGCCUGUCCGAGCGUCAUUUCAACCCUCAGGCCCUGGUUGCCUGGUGUUGGGGCGCCGCGCACCCUCUGCGGGCGCGGGCCCCGAAAGUCAGUGGCGGGCUCGCCAGGACUCCGAGCGCAGUAAUUUUCUCUCGCUGUGGAGCGCCUGGUGGGUUACCAGCCGUAAAACACCCCAAAUUCUAAAGGUUGACCUCGGAUCAGGUAGGAAUACCCGCUGAACUUAAGCAUAUCAAUAAGCGGAGGA